CCUACGGGCGGCAGCAGUGGGGAAUAUUGCACAAUGGGGGAAACCCUGAUGCAGCGACGCCGCGUGAAGGAAGAAGUAUUUCGGUAUGUAAACUUCUAUCAGCAGGGAAGAAAAUGACGGUACCUGACUAAGAAGCCCCGGCUAACUACGUGCCAGCAGCCGCGGUAAUACGUAGGGGGCAAGCGUUAUCCGGAUUUACUGGGUGUAAAGGGAGCGUAGGCGGUGCAGCAAGUCAGAAGUGAAAGCCCGGGGCUCAACUCCGGGACUGCUUUUGAAACUGUUGAACUAGAGUGCAGGAGAGGUAAGUGGAAUUCCUGGUGUAGCGGUGAAAUGCGUAGAUAUUAGGAGGAACACCAGUGGCGAAGGCGGCUUACUGGACUGUAAAUGACACUGAGGCUCGAAAGCGUGGGGAGCAAACAGGAUUAGAUACCCGUGUAGUC
rnacentral:rRNA from 1 species